CAGUCGCCGCGGUAAUACAGAGGGUGCGAGCGUUAAUCGGAUUUACUGGGCGUAAAGCGUGCGUAGGCGGCUUUUUAAGUCGGAUGUGAAAUCCCUGAGCUUAACUUAGGAAUUGCAUUCGAUACUGGGAAGCUAGAGUAUGGGAGAGGAUGUUAGAAUUCCAGGUGUAGCGGUGAAAUGCGUAGAGAUCUGGAGGAAUACCGAUGGCGAAGGCAGCCAUCUGGCCUAAUACUGACGCUGAGGUACGAAAGCAUGGGGAGCAAACAGGAUUAGAUACCCCUGUAGUCCCUGUCUCUUAUAC
rnacentral:rRNA from 1 species